rnacentral:rRNA from 1 species
AUUGAACGCUGGCGGCAUGCUUUACACACGCAAGUCGAACGGUAACAGGCCGCAAGGUGCUGACGAGUGGCGAACGGGGGAGUAAUGCAUCGGAACGUGCCCAGUCGUGGGGGAUAACUACUCGAAAGAGUAGCUAAUACCGCAUACGAUCUAUGGAUGAAAGCGGGGGACCGUAAGGCCUCGCGCGAUUGGAGCGGCCGAUGUCAGAUUAGGUAGUUGGUGGGGUAAAGGCUCACCAAGCCAACGAUCUGUAGCUGGUCUGAGAGGACGACCAGCCACACUGGGACUGAGACACGGCCCAGACUCCUACGGGAGGCAGCAGUGGGGAAUUUUGGACAAUGGGCGCAAGCCUGAUCCAGCAAUGCCGCGUGCAGGAAGAAGGCCUUCGGGUUGUAAACUGCUUUUGUACGGAACGAAACGGCUCUGGUUAAUACCCGGGGCUAAUGACGGUACCGUAAGAAUAAGCACCGGCUAACUACGUG